ACCGCCUGGUAUGGCAACUGCACAGCCCGCAACCGCAGCGCUCUCCAGAAGGUGGUACAGUCUGCCCAACGCAUCACCGGGCGGUGCAGCAUGACCCAACACUGCCUGCCCUCCAGGACACCUACAGCACCUGAUGUCACAGGAAGGCCAAAAAGAUCAUCAAGGACAUCAACUGCCCGAGCCACGGCUUGUUCACCCCGCUAUCAUCCAGAAGGCAAGGUUGGAACAUGCUGAGCUGCCUUUCCUGCCUGGACCUCUCAUUGUCUCUGCAUGACAUCAUAGAAUUUCUUGUCACAAGGAUCAUGGAAUUUCUGAGUCCUUUUCCAGGAAGUCUUGUUGCAUGGCCCACUGAUUCCAAAGCUCUCCAA
rnacentral:lncRNA from 1 species